CUGGAGGAUGAUAAGCACCUGGUGGC
rnacentral:piRNA from 1 species